rnacentral:rRNA from 1 species
GACGAACGCUGGCGGCGUGCUUAACACAUGCAAGUCGAACGGAAAGGCCCUGCUUUUGUGGGGUGCUCGAGUGGCGAACGGGUGAGUAACACGUGAGUAACCUGCCCUUGACUUUGGGAUAACUUCAGGAAACUGGGGCUAAUACCGGAUAGGAGCUCCUGCUGCAUGGUGGGGGUUGGAAAGUUUCGGCGGUUGGGGAUGGACUCGCGGCUUAUCAGCUUGUUGGUGGGGUAGUGGCUUACCAAGGCUUUGACGGGUAGCCGGCCUGAGAGGGUGACCGGCCACAUUGGGACUGAGAUACGGCCCAGACCCCUACGGGAGGCAGCAGUGGGGAAUAUUGCACAAUGGGCGGAAGCCUGAUGCAGCAACGCCGCGUGCGGGAUGACGGCCUUCGGGUUGUAAACCGCUUUCGCCUGUGACGAAGCGUGAGUGACGGUAAUGGGUAAAGAGGCACCGGCUAACUACG